rnacentral:rRNA from 1 species
UACGAAGGGUGCAAGCGUUACUCGGAAUUACUGGGCGUAAAGCGUGCGUAGGUGGUUUGUUAAGUCUGAUGUGAAAGCCCUGGGCUCAACCUGGGAAUGGCAUUGGAAACUGGCGAUCUAGAGUGCGGUAGAGGGUAGUGGAAUUCCCGGUGUAGCAGUGAAAUGCGUAGAGAUCGGGAGGAACAUCUGUGGCGAAGGCGACUGCCUGGACCAGCACUGACACUGAGGCACGAAAGCGUGGGGAGCAAACAGG